rnacentral:rRNA from 1 species
ACUUGAUAGCUAAUGUGAUCUUCGUGACUUUAGGUUAAUAUGUAGAUCAGGUAAAGUUAUUGUGCUGGGGCGGCUAGAAUAAAAUUUGUAACUGUUCUUUAUUAUAAAAUAAUUAUAUUUAGAUUCUGAUCCUGGGUGUUUAGAUUAAAAGAUCAAGUU